rnacentral:pre_miRNA from 1 species
AGCCUUCUGCAUCCAUGCUGCAAUUUCGUCACACACCAGACCACAAGGGCUGAUAAGACUCCCAAGAUAUGUGAAGCG